GGGAUUCCCCUAGUAACGGCGAGUGAAGCGGGAACAGCUCAAAUUUGAAAUCUGGCCCUUGGGUCCGAGUUGUAAUUUGCAGAGGAUGCUUUUGGUGCGGUGCCUUCCGAGUUCCCUGGAACGGGACGCCUUAGAGGGUGAGAGCCCCGUACGGUUGGACACCAAGCCUAUGUAAAGCUCCUUCGACGAGUCGAGUAGUUUGGGAAUGCUGCUCAAAAUGGGAGGUAUAUUUCUUCUAAAGCUAAAUAUUGGCCAGAGACCGAUAGCGCACAAGUAGAGUGAUCGAAAGAUGAAAAGCACUUUGAAAAGAGGGUUAAAUAGCACGUGAAAUUGUUGAAAGGGAAGGAUUUAUGACCAGACUUUUUCUAGGGGGAUCAUCCGGUGUUCUCACCGGUGCACUUCCCCUAGUUGAGGCCAGCAUCGGUUUCUGUCGGGGGAUAAAAGCUUUAGGAAUGUGGCUCCCUCCGGGGAGUGUUAUAGCCUGUUGCAUAAUACCCUGACGGGGACCGAGGUUCGCGCAUUGCAAGGAUGCUGGCGUAAUGGUUAUUAAUCACCCGUCUUGAAACACGGACCAAGGAGUCGAACAUUUGUGCGAGUGUUUGGGUGUUAAACCCUCACGCGUAAUGAAAGUGAACGGAGGUGAGAGCCUUUCGGGGUGCAUCAUCGACCGAUCCUGAUGUCUUCGGAUGGAUUUGAGUAAGAGCAUUAAUGUUCGGACCCGAAAGAUGGUGAACUAUGCGUGGAUAGGGUGAAGCCAGAGGAAACUCUGGUGGAGGCUCGCAGCGGUUCUGACGUGCAAAUCGAUCGUCAAAUCUGCGCAUGGGGGCGAAAGACUA
rnacentral:rRNA from 1 species